GGAGAUCAAAUGCUAACCGUAGAAAGCUUGCAUGGAUUGCUCUCAAGUGUAACAGACAGAGCGGGUCAUAUGAGUGCGGAUACUAUGUAAUGUAUUGGAUGACCUACAUUAUUCGUGCCCAUAUCACAAGAGGCUGGGAAACGAGAUUCAAGACUCCUACUCCAAUUCCUGAGAAGCCACUUACAUUCUUGAGGAAGGCAAUUGCAAAACAUUUAGUUAGAUUAUAUAAUAGUUCACAGUUAUUAGAUUUGUCG